UGGAACUUGCGGCUUAAUUUGACUCAACACUGGAAAUCUCACCAGGCCCGGACACCGGAAGGAUUGACAGAUUGAGAGCUCUUUCUCGAUUCGGUGGGUGGUGGUGCAUGGCCGUUCUUAGUUGGUGGAGUGAUUUGUCUGGUUAAUUCCGAUAACGAACGAGACUCCUUCCUGCUAAAUAGUUGCGACGUCACACUUGCGUCGCAAAUUCUUCUUAGAGGGACUGACAGCAUCUAGCUGUACGAGAUGGAGCAAUAACAGGUCUGUGAUGCCCUUAGAUGUUCUGGGCUGCACGCGUGUUACACUGAAGGGAUCAGCGUGUUUUCCCUGACCGAGAGGUCCGGGUAACCCGCUGAACCCCCUUCGUGGUAGGGAUCGGAGCUUGCAAUUAUUCUCCGUGAACCAGGAAUACCCAGUAAGCGCAAGUCAUAAGCUUGCGUUGAUUACGUCCCUGCCCUUUGUACACACCGCCCGUCGCUACUACCGAUUGAACGUUUUAGUGAGGUAUUUGGACUGGGCCUCUGGUGGCUCGCGCCUCCAGUGCUGCCCGGGAAGACUCCCAAACUUGAGCGUUUAGAGGAAGUAAAAGUCGUAACAA
rnacentral:rRNA from 1 species